rnacentral:rRNA from 1 species
UGGCGGACGGGUGAGAAACGCGUGAGGAGCUGUCUUAUGCAGGGGGACAACAGUUGGAAACGGCUGCUAGUACCCCAUAAGCCGAGAGGUAAAAGGAGCAAUCCGGCAGAGGAGGUACUCGCGUCCUAUCAGCUAGUAGGUUGGGUAACGGCCGACCUAGGCGAAGACGGGUAGCCGGCCUGAGAGGGCGAUCAGCCACACUGGGACUGAGACACGGCCCAGACUCCUACGGGAGGCAGCAGUGGGGAAUCUUGCGCAAUGGGCGAAAGCCUGACGCAGCAACGCCGCGUGGGGGAUGAAGGCUUUCGGGUUGUAAACCCCUUUCGGCAGGGACGAAUCAAGACGGUACCUGCAGAAGAAGCCCCGGCUAACUACGUGCCAGCAGCCGCGGUAAUA